rnacentral:misc_RNA from 1 species
GAUGAAGAACGUAGCGAAAUGCGAUAAGUAAUGUGAAUUGCAGAAUUCAGUGAAUCAUCGAAUCUUUGAACGCACAUUGCGCCCGCCAGUAUUCUGGCGGGCAUGCCUGUUCGAGCGUCAUUUCAACCAUCAAGCCCCCGGCUUGUGUUGGGGACCUGCGGCUGCAGCAGGCCCUGAAAAGCAGUGGCGGGCUCGCUGUCACACCGAGCGUAGUAGCAUAUAUCUCGCUCUGGGCGUGCUGCGGGUUCCGGCCGUUAAACCACCUUCAUAACCCAAGGUUGACCUCGGAUCAGGUAGGAAGACCCGCUGAACUUAAGCAUAUCAAUAAGCGGAGGA